GCAUUCGUGGUGCAGUGGUCAGCACGCUCGGUGCGUAUUCGAGAGGUCUGUGGUUCAAAUCCCGGCGAGGGCA
rnacentral:tRNA from 1 species